CAUGCAAGUCGAGCGAAGCGAUUUCAAGGUAAGUUUUCGGAUGGAAUUGAAAUUGACUGAGCGGCGGACGGGGUGAGAUAACGCGCUGGGUAACCUGCCUCAUACAGGGGGAUAACAGUUGGAAACGACUGCUAAUACCGCAUAAGCACACAGUGCCGCAUGGUACGGUGUGAAAAACUCCGGUGGUAUGAGAUGGACCCGCGUCUGAUUAGGUAGUUGGUGAGGUAACGGCCCACCAAGCCGACGAUCAGUAGCCGACCUGAGAGGGUGACCGGCCACAUUGGGACUGAGACACGGCCCAAACUCCUACGGGAGGCAGCAGUGGGGAAUAUUGGACAAUGGGGGAAACCCUGAUCCAGCGACGCCGCGUGAGUGAAGAAGUAUUUCGGUAUGUAAAGCUCUAUCANCAGGGAAGAAAAUGACGGUACCUGACUAAGAAGCCCCGGCUAACUACGUGCCAGCAGCCGCGGUAAUACGUAGGGGGCAAGCGUUAUCCGGAUUUACUGGGUGUAAAGGGAGCGUAGACGGCACUGCAANUCUGGAGUGAAAGCCCGGGGCUCAACCCCGGGACUGCUUUGGAAACUGUGGUGCUGGAGUGCANGAGAGGUAAGUGGAAUUCCUAGUGUAGCGGUGAAAUGCGUAGAUAUUAGGAGGAACACCAGUGGCGAAGGCGGCUUACUGGACUGUAACUGACGUUGAGGCUCGAAAGCGUGGGGAGCAAAACAGGAUUAGAUACCCUGGUAGUNCNCCNCCGUAAACGAUGAAUACUAGGUGUUGGGGAGCAAAGCUCUUCGGUGCCGCCGCUAACGCAAUAAGUAUUCCACCUGGGGAGUACGUUCGCAAGAAUGAAACUCAAAGGAAUUGACGGGGACCCGCACAAGCGGUGGAGCAUGUGGUUUAAUUCGAAGCAACGCGAAGAACCUUACCAAGUCUUGACAUCGGAAUGACCGGGAUGUAACGAUCCCUUCCCUACGGGGCAUUCCAGACAGGUGGUGCAUGGUUGUCGUCAGCUCGUGUCGUGAGAUGUUGGGUUAAGUCCCGCAACGAGCGCAACCCUUAUCCUUAGUAGCCAGCANGUNGUGGUGGGCACUCUGGGGAGACUGCCAGGGAUAACCUGGAGGAAGGUGGGGAUGACGUCAAAUCAUCAUGCCCCUUAUGAUUUGGGCUACACACGUGCUACAAUGGCGUAAACAAAGGGAAGCAAAGGAGCGAUCUGGAGCAAACCCCAAAAAUAACGUCUCAGUUCGGAUUGUAGUCUGCAACUCGACUACAUGAAGCUGGAAUCGCUAGUAAUCGCGGAUCAGAAUGCCGCGGUGAAUACGUUCCCGGGUCUUGUACACACCGCCCGUCACACCAUGGGAGUUGGUAACGCCCGAA
rnacentral:rRNA from 1 species